UGAUAGUUUUCUCAUACCAUAAGAAUCAGGCCUGCUGCAGCACUUUGUAUCAUGAACUUUGAGCACCUCUUUGGCCAUCUCAGACGACGAGACGAUCAGAGCAGGGACUUGGCCUAGUCUUAGGUGCAUGACAGGCCCGUAUUGUUGGGACAGUCUGUACAGAGAAACAUGAGGCAGUCUUCCAAGUUGGUGAAGGUUGCCUAAUAUGGGGAGCCUCGGAGGACCUGGGGGCAGAUUUUCUAGAAUUUGUUUCGAAAAAUAUCCAUGACACAAUGGAAGGAGAAACAGGAGGAGGAGAAAGGCAGUGGUAGUUAAAAGCCAGAAGAAUGAGACAGAGCUAAGAAAUUCAGAGAUCAUUUCCAUGAGUGCUACUGAGGGGCAAGAUAAGGUGUGAUAUCCUUAUAAAACCAGAUUGUGAUGUAGACUUAGUGGUUUAUUUUGAAACUAAGGCCCAAAGAAAUGUCAAAUACGUUGAAUGAGGAUCAAGUGAGUGCACUCUUAGUCAAUACUCUCGCUCUGGCUCUCAUGUUCCUUACGUUUCUUGAUUGACUCAACCUAAUCUGGAGAGGGUAAGUAUGUAAAUAGUCAGUUAAAUUAUUUUUUAGCUACUUAAUGAAACUAUUAGGCAUUAAUGAAAUUUGAGUUUUCGUUUAACACAGAUCGUAAAAAUACAAGUAAAAGCUACAAUGAACUGGCAAAAGCACAGUUGCUCACUUAACUCUAUAAUCGAAAGAAGAGGGGCUAAGGCCAAUACUGGAUUGCGCGGUUUAAUUUAUACGUCUGACAGGUAGCAGCUGAAGUGGGAAUUUUUUGUUAAUAGUCAAGCCAACCACUUCUUCCAUGUUAAUGUCUUCAGGUUUCAUCCCUCUAGGCAACUGCCAGUCGAAACAAUGCAACAUAUUUGCAAGUAUUGAUUCCACCGAAGUUAAGCCCGUUGUCAUUCCAGGACAAAUUCGUCGACCAGCACCAAAUGGAAUCAGCUCGUAAUGCUGACCCUUGAAAUCAAUCUCACUGUCCUCAAACCUCUCUGGAUAAAAUUCUUCCGGAUUCAACCAUGUAUUACUGUCUCUGCCAAUCGCCCAUGCAUUGAUAAAAAUCCUGGUUUUGGGGUACACACUGUAGCCCCCAAUCUUACAGUAUUGCAUUGAUUCUCGCGGUAAGAGUAGCGGUGCUGCAGGGUGCAGCCUCAGAGUCUCCUUCACUACCAUCUUCAAGUACUUGAGCUUCUCUAUUUCACUCUCUUCUACUUGAUUUUUAUUUCCUAUUACUUUUCUGAUUUCAGUUUGCACCUUUGACAUUACUCGCGGGUUCUUGGCCAGUUCGCUCAUUGCCCAUACAGUUGUCCCAGAGGUAGUGUCUAUUGAAGCCAGAAAUAAAUCCUGAAAACACCAGAAACACAUGAACCUCAUAGAAGCGCGUAAAGGAAAGAAGCACGUAGGGUAUAGUAUAAUAUACAAACUAAAUUACCAUGAAGACAGCUUUGAUGUUAUCUUUGGUGAGUCUGAGGGGACCAGUUUUAUCAUUUGACAAAGCAAUUAAGAUGUCAGUAAUGUCUUCAUGGUCCAGCCUGGGCCUUGAAGGUUGGAGAUGUUCCUGAAUAACAGCCUCAUAGAAUUUAUCAAACUCAUGAAAGCAAUUUUCCAGCUUCUGGCGAAACCCUGUUAAUAUAUCAAUCAUCCAUCCAUAGUAUGGAAAGAAAUCUGCAGCGCAGAAGCCACUAAUUACCAGCAAGGCAUCCUGUAAAGUCUUGUGAAUUUCUUGUUCCUUGAGCUUCUCAUGUUCAAAAUCGGUUCCAAAUGCAAUCCCACAAAUGAUGUUUUUUGCAAGAGAGUAUAUUUUGUGAUCAAGCUGGAUGGAUUUAUUGUCAGGGUCUGAAGCUUCUUCUGAGAGAAUGUUCACAAACUUGGCAAUCUCCCGGUCUCUGACAUGCUGAAAUGAACGAACCCUCUUGACAGUAAAAAGUUCUAUGACACAAAUCUUACGCAUCUCGCGCCAGUACUCACCAUAAGGACUGAAAGAUAUGUCCUUUCGGUUGUAUGAUAACCUCCUCAUACCAUACGAAUCAGGCCUAUUGCAGCAACUCGCAUCCUGAUCUUUGAGCACCUCUUUUGCCAUCUCGGGGGAUGAAAUGACCAAAGUAGGGACUCGACCAAGUUUUAGGUGCAUGACGGGGCCAUAUUUUUGGGACAGUUUAUACAGAGAAAAAUGAGGCAGAUUACCAAGUUGGUGAAGGUUGCCUAUAAUGGGAAGCCUUGGAGGACCUGGGGGUAGAUUUUCCAAAUUUCGUUUCCCUACAUUUCUGUUUAAGAAGAUAAGUAGAAUGGCAAUGCCAGUAAGAAGCCAUGGCAAUGAAAGGAAGUUGAGAGAUUCCGAAAAGAUUUCCAUUAAGCUAGGUGAUAGGGUAGAAAUGAGCAGGAAACCAAAUUUCGAAUUUGGUUAUGAGAAGAUAGAAGACAGUGUUAAACAUGGUACCAUACAAUAUUAAAAUAUUCUAUCUUUAUCCUUAAACUGUGAUAUGGACCUGUGCGGUGCUGGUUGAAUUAAUGCAAAGCAAUAAUGUAAAAACAGUUAAAAGUAUCCGCAUGACUAUACAUAUCAUCCAAGUAUAUAUAGAGGGCAAUCACAUUACAGUGAAUAAAUAGUUUACUCGGUGUGAAUUUAUAUUCUUAUUGACUAUAUCAAUUGCUACUGCAAUUUAGAUAAUUAUGUAUCUGUACCUCCAGUGAGCCCUUGACCUCGUGCUCUAAUUACGAAGGAAGGCAUUUCCUAGCUAGUUUAUAGUCAGGGGAUUACUUGGUCUGAAUCUGAAAUUCAUGUUUAAUAGGCACCAGAUGAAGAGGAAACUUCUUGUUUACAGUCAGGCCAAACUCUUCUUCCAUGUUCAUGUCAUCAGGUGUCAUCCCGCUGGGCAACUGCCAGUCAAAGCAAUGCAGCAGAUUUGCAAGUAUUGAUUCCACCGAUGCCAAGCCCAUUGUCAUUGCAGGACACAUUCUUCGACCAGCACCAAAUGGAAUCAACUCGUAAUGCUGACCCUUAAAAUCAAUUUCACAGUCCUCAAACCUCUCUGGAUAAAAUUCGUACGGCUUUGACCAUGUAUCACUGUCUCUGCCAAUAGCCCAUGCAUUAAUAAAGAUCCUGGUUUUGGGGUACACAUUGUAUCCCCCAAUCUUACAAUGCUGCAUUGAUUCUCGAGGUAAGAGUAGGGGCACCGGAGGGUGCAACCUGAGGGUCUCCUUUAUCACCAUUUUGAAGUACUUGAGUUUCUCUAUUUCGCUCUCAUCUACUACUGCUUUAUUUCCUACAGCAUUUCUGAUUUCAGCUUGUACUUUUCUCAUUACACGCGGAUUCUUCGCAAGCUCGCUCAUAGCCCAUACAGUUGUCCCAGAACUUGUAUCAAUCGAAGCCAGAAACAGAUCCUGUAAACAGAACAAUCCACUCAUCAAUUUUAUUUAGGUUAAUGAUAAACAGCUAACACCAGAUGCAUUAUUUCAUUGAAGACCAUAUAUGUGUAUGAUUUUAUUGAUGUCACUCUUGUGGGCUGGAAGUGUUUGCAAUGGAACUUACUCUACACAUGUAUAUAUACUGAAAAAGAAAGAACAGAGUUACCAUGAAGACAGCUUUGAUGUGAUCUUUCGUGAGAUCAAAAGGGGCAUUUUCAUCAUUGGACAAAGCAAUUAAGACAUCAGUUAAGUUUUCAUGAUCCAACCUGGACCUAGAAGGUCCAAUAUGUUCUUGGAUAACACUUUCAGAAAAUUUAUCGAGCUUAUCAAAGCUCUUUUUCAUCUUCCUGUGGAAUCCGGUUAAUAGAUCAAUUAUCCAGCCAUAAUAUGGAAAGAAAUCAGCUGCACAAAAACCACUAAUCACGAUCAUGGCCUCAUGUAAAGUCUUCUUAAUUUCGUUCUCCUUGAACUUCUCACCUCCAACAUUAGUGCCAAAAGCAACCUCACAUAUAAUGUUCUUUGCAAAUGUCAAUAUUUUCUCAUCAAGGUGUAUGAAUUUAUUGUUAGGAUCCGAAGCUUCUAUUGAGAUAUCAUUCACCAAUUUAGCAAUCUCUCGGUCUCUAACAUGUUGAAAUGAACGAACCCUCUUGACAGUAAAAAGUUCUAUGACACAGAGCUUACGCAUUUCACGCCAGUAAUCACCAUAAGGAGAAAAAGAGAUGUCCUUCUGAUUGUACGAUAGUUUUCUCAUACCAUAAGAAUCAGGCCUGCUGCAGCACUUUGUAUCAUGAACUUUAAGCACCUCUUUGGCCAUCUGAGGCGACGAGACGACCAGAGCAGGGACUUGACCUAGUCUUAGGUGCAUGACAGGCCCGUAUUGUUGGGACAGUCUGUAGAGAGAAAUAUGAGGCAGUCCUCCAAGUUGGUGAAGGUUGCCUAAUAUGGGGUGCCUCGGGGGACCUGGGGGAAGAUUUUCUAGAAUUUGUUUCGAAAAAUAUCCGUGACAUAAUAGAAGGAGAAAUAGGAGGAGGAGAAAAGCCGUGAUGGUUAGAAGCCAGAAGAACGAGACAGAG
rnacentral:lncRNA from 1 species